CUCACCUCCUGCUGUGCAGCCCAGUUCCUAACAGGCCACGGAUUAGUACUGGUCCACAGCCCAAGAGUUGGAGACCCUGCUCUAGGACAGUCAGACCCACCCACCCCUUUGCAAAUAGCCACUGCACAUUUGCUGAUAAAUGGAUAGUUAAUCAGAUAGAUAAAGCCUAUUAGCCAUUGCUAAUACUGUAACCUUGAAUAAAAGGGGUAGCUCCACCAGACUGAGACUUGUCUGGUUUGGAAGCCCUAUUUGGAGUGCAGGGUUGCUUCCUUUUGUUCCUGUAGCCUCAUCCCUGCUUCUAACUUAUUCCUCCCCAGUAAGCCUUCAAAGCAGCUCACAGCCUUGGUCCAGCAGGGUGAUAAACUUCCAGGUCCUAGACCCCUGGAGGAAUUUCCAGGGUGUGAUCUCUAGAGGGAAUUCUUAGGAGCUUGGUGAUCCCACAUAUCAUUCCCGGUGGGCAGAAGUGGGAAGGAGGGAAGUGACUUGUGCUACCUCCCUGCCCCCUCCUCACUGCUUGGACAAAUGACCCAAAGGAGCCCUGUCCUUCCCUGUUCUACCCCACCCCACUGGAGCAGGGUCUGGAUGGAGUUAAUCCUCCCACACUCCAUGCUAAGGGAGCACAGAGUACCGAAGUGGGAGCCAGAGACCAGCACUGGUCCCAGGACCACCACUGUGCAACCUAGGACAAGUCCUUGGCCUCUCUGAUCCUGAGUGUUCUCCUCUGCAAGGUGCAAAUAGCCCCUACUUCAUCCACAGGCCUAUAGGGAGGAUCAAAGGCUAUAACACACAUGAAAGCACUUCACAAAGAUGCCAACCCCACCUUCCCACCUUUACCAGUCAGAAGAGUUAACCAGGACAGAGAUACCCCAAAUACCACUUACCUCGCUUCAGGCAUCCAUCACAGGAAGGACAGGGAAAGAGCAGAACACAGAGUGAGUAUGAACAAUGAGGAUUACAUGUGCGGCCGCAGAACCUCGCAGACCAGCUUGGGGAAGGAGGGGGCCGCUGACAACAGUGAGCCAGAGAGUCAUCAGGCAUCAGGCAGGGGGAGAAGUUCGAGGUUCCGGCAGAACAGAAUAAAAACUCAACAGCCCUUUGAACUACCGGGCAUUCUUAUUGGGAGGUACUGGGCAUGGUAAGUUGGGGAGAAGUGGUGGAAGGGGAGGGAAGCCUUAGGGUAGGGUUCCAGUAACAUGAAAGCAUCCAUCCAUGGGUGUGUGGGUAAAUUCCCAAAGCUUUGUUCACCUACUGUGUCAGUGUUAAGUGGUGGCCUGGUACACGCAAUUCACGUGUUAGAUCAAGACAGGAAAACUCUGAGGCACAGGCCAAAAAGGCGCUCCCAGGGCAACCUGAGAGUGAGUUCUGCUCAAUGGCUGGGAGGACACAGGCAGCACGGGGCAGACCAUCAAGUGCUGUCCCUGUUUGAGGACCUGGUCUCUUAGGGGAAAGCUUUGGGGGUUGAAAACACGGUGCCUCCACUGUGGGGCUGAAGUCUGUGGCAAAGGGACUUGCCUUCCUGGGGCCCCAGAUGGCAGUGAGACUACUUACACUUCCGGCAUGGUGGCAGUGGGACAGCACCUGGGGGCACAGAGGAACAGUUCAUGAGGGAAAGUAGAAACCCCUGCCGCCAACCCAGCUGCGCCUUGGGAGCCCAGCCUAGGAGACAGAGUCAGAAUACAAAA